UGGGGAAUCUUGCGCAAUGCACGAAAGUGUGACGCAGCAACGCCGCGUGGAGGAAGAAGGCUCUCGGGUCGUAAACUCCUUUCAGUUGGGACGAAGCUUCGUCGGUUAAUAGCCGGCUGGAGUGACGGUACCUUCACAAGAAGCACCGGCUAACUCCGUGCCAGCAGCUGCGGUAAUACGGAGGGGGCAAGCAUUGAUCGGAAUUACUGGGCGUAAAGCGUGCGCAGGCGGUUCGGGAAGAGAGGUGUG
rnacentral:rRNA from 1 species